AUAUGUUUGGACAGAAUCAGAUCGGCAAAAGAGGACCCCCAUAUAUAUUUGGACAGAAUCAAAUCGGCAAAAGAGGAUCCCCAUAUAUGUUUGGAAAGAAUCAAAUUGGUGGCACAGAAAGCACGAAAUAGAUGCAUUAGGUCAACCCUGCAAGAACGAGAUUCAAGAUUACCAGCUUUAUCUCGGGAUGAUUCUAGCGGAGAAGAAUGCCUACUGUUAAACCAAGGAAGCUAAGGCUCGRUCGACGGCUCUCGGAACCUGAACCGAAAAUAGAAAUGAAGAACUACAUAUAUUACUUUAUUUUAAUAAACUUGAAAUAUAUUAUCAGAUAUUAAAGAAUUAUGAAAUAUUAAUAUAUACAAUAACUAAAUAACUACUUAGAUUUAUUUUGAUAAACUUGAAAAUAUAUGUUCAGAUAUAUAUCAGAUUAAUGAAAUAUUCAUAUAUACAUAYGAAAUA